rnacentral:rRNA from 1 species
UAGGGAAUCUUCGGCAAUGGGGGGAACCCUGACCGAGCAACGCCGCGUGAGUGAAGAAGGUUUUCGGAUCGUAAAGCUCUGUUGUUAAGGAAGAACGAGUGUGAGAAUGGAAAGUUCAUACUGUGACGGUACUUAACCAGAAAGGGACGGCUAACUACGUGCCAGCAGCCGCGGUAAUACGUAGGUCCCGAGCGUUGUCCGGAUUUAUUGGGCGUAAAGCGAGCGCAGGCGGUUAGAUAAGUCUGAAGUUAAAGGCAGUGGCUCAACCAUUGUAGGCUUUGGAAACUGUUUAACUUGAGUGCAGAAGGGGAGAGUGGAAUUCCAUGUGUAGCGGUGAAAUGCGUAGAUAUAUGGAGGAACACCGGUGGCGAAAGCGGCUCUCUGGUCUGUAACUGACGCUGAGGCUCGAAAGCGUGGGGAGCGAACAGGAUUAGAUACCCUGGUAGUCCACGCCGUAAACGAUGAGUGCUAGGUGUUAGGUCCUUUCCGGGACUUAGUGCCGCAGCUAACGCAUUAAGCACUCCGCCUGGGGGAGUACGACCGCAGGUUG